UACGGAGGAUGCAAGCGUUAUCCGGAAUUAUUGGGCGUAAAGCGUCCGUAGGUGGUUUUUCAAGUCUGCUGUCAAAGCGCGGAGCUUAACUCCGUAAAGGCGGUGGAAACUGAAAGACUAGAGUUUGGUAGGGGUAGAGGGAAUUCCCAGUGUAGCGGUGAAAUGCGUAGAUAUUGGGAAGAACACCGGUGGCGAAAGCGCUCUACUGGGCCUGAACUGACACUGAGGGACGAAAGCUAGGGGAGCGAAAGGG
rnacentral:rRNA from 1 species